CUAUCAAAGCAUUAGCAGAUGUCUUCAUCUCCUUCCCUGGCCACAGAAGACUCUGUGACAUCAAAGAGGAGUUCUAUAGGAUUGCAGAUGGUCUGCAAUGCUGACUGUGUGAUCAGCAAUGUUGUGGCAAAAUGGCCUGGCUCAGUCCAUGACUCCAGAAUCUUUCGGGCCUCUGAAAUCUAUCACAAGGUGAAUUCUCUGGUGUGUUGCUGGGAGACAGGGGUAUGGCUGCCAGCCUUUUCUCCUGACACCUUUCACAGACCCCCAGGAAGCACAGCAGGCCUACAACCAUGCCCAUGCCAGGACCAGGGCCAGAGUUGAAAUGACCUUUGGCCUCCUGAAGGCACGCUUUCACUGCCUUCACAAAUUAAGGGUCAGCCCUGUUAGGGCAUGUGAUAUUACUGUGGCUUGUGCUGUCCUCCACAAUGUGGCCUGCCUGAGGAAGGAGAGGGCCCCCAGAGUGCCACCAGCCAUGGACUGGGACAAUCCGGCAAUCUUCCCUGAUGACGACAGUGGUCGGCUGCUGAGGGACCAAUAUGUGUUGAAUUAUUUUAGUUAGUAUGUGUGCUUUCAAUUUUGGUUAAAUAUGUCCUGCGGUGGCAGAGGAAUUUGGUUUUUUUUGGGUUCGUUUUUUGAUGAAUUUGGCCUCUUAUGAUGUUUGUGCGGUAUACUGUGUGUAAUACAAGGCUGCAGGGAGGCUACU